UACGAAGGGGGCUAGCGUUGCUCGGAAUUACUGGGCGUAAAGCGCACGUAGGCGGCUUUCUAAGUCGGGGGUGAAAUCCUGGAGCUCAACUCCAGAACUGCCUUCGAUACUGGAGAGCUCGAGUCCGGGAGAGGUGAGUGGAACUGCGAGUGUAGAGGUGAAAUUCGUAGAUAUUCGCAAGAACACCAGUGGCGAAGGCGGCCCACUGGCCCGGUACUGACGCUGAGGUGCGAAAGCGUGGGGAGCAAACAGG
rnacentral:rRNA from 1 species